rnacentral:tRNA from 1 species
AGGCGCUUAGCUCAGCUGGUUAGAGCACCACCUUGACAUGGUGGGGGUCGGAGGUUCGAGUCCUCUAGCGCCUA